CAGUCGUACCGGCGGAUAAUCAGCCUUUCGGGCGCGAUUCUGUGGGGCGUGAGGAGCUUAACCGCCUUCAUGUUUUGCUAUAUUCGUGCACAUUUUGGGUACUUGUCCCGUGUGGU
rnacentral:rRNA from 1 species